rnacentral:rRNA from 1 species
UAAGUAGGUAGUGAAGCGUCCGGCUCAACCGGAUAACAUUAUCUAACUGCUAAGCUAGAGGACGAGAGAGGUUAUUGGAAUUCCUAGUGUAGGAGUGAAAUCCGUAGAUAUUAGGAGGAACACCGAUGGCGUAGGCAGAUAACUGGCUCGUUUCUGACACUAAGGCACGAAAGCGUGGGUGGCAAACGGGAUUAGAUACCCCGGUAGUCCACGCCGUAAACUAUGGAUGCUA